rnacentral:rRNA from 1 species
UACGUAGGGUGCAAGCGUUAAUCGGAAUUACUGGGCGUAAAGCGUGCGCAGGCGGUGAUGUAAGACAGAUGUGAAAUCCCCGGGCUCAACCUGGGAACUGCAUUUGUGACUGCAUUGCUGGAGUGCGGCAGAGGGGGAUGGAAUUCCGCGUGUAGCAGUGAAAUGCGUAGAUAUGCGGAGGAACACCGAUGGCGAAGGCAAUCCCCUGGGCCUGCACUGACGCUCAUGCACGAAAGCGUGGGAGCAAACAGG